rnacentral:rRNA from 1 species
UACGUAGGGUGCAAGCGUUAAUCGGAAUUACUGGGCGUAAAGCGUGCGCAGGCGGUUCGGAAAGAAAGAUGUGAAAUCCCAGGGCUCAACCUUGGAACUGCAUUUUUAACUCCCGGACUAGAGUAUGUCAGAGGGGGGUGGAAUUCCACGUGUAGCAGUGAAAUGCGUAGAGAUGUGGAGGAACACCGAUGGCGAAGGCAGCCCCCUGGGAUAAUACUGACGCUCAGGCACGAAAGCGUGGGUAGCAAACAGGAUUAGAUACCCUGGUAGUCCACGCCCUAAACGAUGUCAACUAGCUGUUGGGUUCUUCGGAGCUUAGUAGCGCAGCUAACGCGUGAAGUUGACCGCCUGGGGAGUACGGUCGCAAGAUUAAA